UUACUACUUGGAUAACCGUAGUAAUUCUAGAGCUAAUACAUGCAGGAGGUCCCGACUUCGGAAGGGAUGUAUUUAUUAGAUAAGAAACCAAUCCGGCUUGCCGGUUGCGUGCUGAGUCACAAUAACUGCUCGAAUCGAAUGGCCUUGCGCCGUCGAUGGUUCAUUCAAAUUUCUGCCCUAUCAGCUUUCGAUGGUAGGAUCGAGGCCUACCAUGGCGUUUACGGGUAACGGAGAAUUAGGGUUCGAUUCCGGAGAGGGAGCCUGAGAAAUGGCUACCACAUCCAAGGAAGGCAGCAGGCGCGUAAAUUGCCCGAAUCCUGACACAGGGAGGUAGUGACAAGAAAUAACAAUACAGGGCUACUUUAGUCUUGUAAUUGGAAUGAGUACAAUUUACAUCUCUUCACGAGGAUCAAUUGGAGGGCAAGUCUGGUGCCAGCAGCCGCGGUAAUUCCAGCUCCAAUAGCGUAUAUUAAAGUUGUUGCAGUUAAAACGCUCGUAGUCGGAUUUCGGGGCCUGCCUGCCGGUCUGCCGAUGGGUAUGCACUGGCAGGCGCGUCCUUCCUUCCGGAGACUGUCCCUACUCUUAACUGAGCGGGGUCGGGAGACGGAUCGUUUACUUUGAAAAAAUCAGAGUGUUUCAAGCAGGCAGCUCGCUCUUGCAUGGAUUAGCAUGGGAUAAUGAAAUAGGACUUUGGUGCUAUUUUGUUGGUUUCGAACACCGAAGUAAUGAUUAACAGGGACAGUCAGGGGCACUCGUAUUCCGCCGAGAGAGGUGAAAUUCUCAGACCAGCGGAAGACGAACCACUGCGAAAGCAUUUGCCAGGGAUGUUUUCACUGAUCAAGAACGAAAGUUAGGGGAUCGAAGACGAUCAGAUACCGUCGUAGUCUUAACCAUAAACCAUGCCGACUAGGGAUUGGAGGAUGUCCAUUUUUGACUCCUUCAGCACCUUACGGGAAACUAAAGUCUUUGGGUUCCGGGGGGAGUAUGGUCGCAAGGCUGAAACUUAAAGGAAUUGACGGAAGGGCACCACCAGGAGUGGAGCCUGCGGCUUAAUUUGACUCAACACGGGGAAACUUACCAGGUCCAGACAUUGUGAGGAUUGACAGAUUGAGAGCUCUUUCUUGAUUCGAUGGGUGGUGGUGCAUGGCCGUUCUUAGUUGGUGGAGUGAUUUGUCUGGUUAAUUCCGUUAACGAACGAGACCUUAGCCUAUUAAAUAGUGGC
rnacentral:rRNA from 1 species